AUCUACGGCCAUGAUGCCCUGAACAGGCCUGAUCCCAUCUGAUCUCGGAAGCUAAGCAGGGUCGGGCCUGGUUAGUACUUGGAUGGGAGACCACCUAGGAAAACCAGGUGCUGUAGGCG
rnacentral:rRNA from 1 species